GGAUGAGCCUGCGUUGGAUUAGCUAGUUGGUGGGGUAAGGGCCCACCAAGGCUACGAUCCAUAGCUGAUUUGAGAGGAUGAUCAGCCACAUUGGGACUGAGACACGGCCCAAACUCCUACGGGAGGCAGCAGUGGGGAAUAUUGGACAAUGGGGGCAACCCUGAUCCAGCAAUGCCAUGUGUGUGAAGAAGGCCCUAGGGUUGUAAAGCACUUUAGUUGGGGAGGAAAGCCUCAAGGUUAAUAGCCUUGGGGGAGGACGUUACCCAAAGAAUAAGCACCGGCUAACUCCGUGCCAGCAGCCGCGGUAAUACGGGGGGUGCAAGCGUUAAUCGGAAUUACUGGGCGUAAAGGGUCUGUAGGUGGUUUGUUAAGUCAGAUGUGAAAGCCCAGGGCUCAACCUUGGAACUGCAUUUGAUACUGGCAAACUAGAGUACGGUAGAGGAAUGGGGAAUUUCUGGUGUAGCGGUGAAAUGCGUAGAGAUCAGAAGGAACACCAAUGGCGAAGGCAACAUUCUGGACCGAUACUGACACUGAGGGACGAAAGCGUGGGGAUCAAACAGGAUUAGAUACCCUGGUAGUCCACGCUGUAAACGAUGAGUACUAGCUGUUGGAGUCGGUGUAAAGGCUCUAGUGGCGCAGCUAACGCGAUAAGUACUCCGCCUGGGGACUACGGCCGCAAGGCUAAAACUCAAAGGAAUUGACGGGGACCCGCACAAGCGGUGGAGCAUGUGGUUUAAUUCGAUGCAACGCGAAGAACCUUACCUGGUCUUGACAUCCUGCGAACUUUCUAGAGAUAGAUUGGUGCCUUCGGGAACGCAGUG
rnacentral:rRNA from 1 species